CCGAAACAGCGAUUGCAGCGGCAUCCUUUUUCAGGAAAAAAAGAUACAGCGGAAAGCGCGAUGCCGA
rnacentral:sRNA from 1 species